AGAUCCAAAACUAGUCUCCACGAGAAAACCAGAGUACCCAGUCUCCACGACAAAACACUCUCGCUUGUCAUCAUUCUCUUCUCACUCCUCAGUCCUCUUCAUCAUCUCCACUCAAAAACCAUUAACAGCGCUGGAGUGAUUCCACCGGUGACGCCCGAUAUCAGUCCCCGCUGAACCUCAUCAUCUCCUUAGUCCUCCUCACUACUGCCGUUUGGGGGCGACGAUGACAUGGUCACCGGAAUUCAUCACCAGUGAAGACCCCGAUGAAGGUCCCCAAGUCGCCGUAUAAGGUUUUGGAUUUGCAAGAUGAUUUCAGGUUUUGGAUGCCCCGGCCUUGCAAGACAUGUAUGAUAAUACACUUUUUUGUUUAAUUGAUUAGUUGUUUUAUUGUUAUAACUAACUAGUCUAUUGACAUCUUGUUUUGCAAAAUCUGUUUGGGACAGAUAAGUUAUUUUGUGAUUGCAGAUGCUCUCUAUGAAUGAGCUUCACUCUGUACAAAGUAGAUUUUCUUAUCAUUGAGUAGAAAUAUUUCUUAUUUUGUGACUGCAGAUGCACAAAAAUUAUGUUGGCCUUAUUUAUAGGUCUGUACUUGAUUCUAUUGUCAUCUGUUAUCAGUUUAAUAGCUCAAUUACAAAAGUGUUAAACUUUGGUA